rnacentral:rRNA from 1 species
GAUUAACGCUGGCGGCGUGCAUAACACAUGCAAGUCGAACGAUGAAACUUAAAUGAUUUCUUCGGAAUGAACUUAAGUGGAUUAGUGGCGGACGGGUGAGUAACGCGUGAGUAACCUGCCGUACACAAGGGGAUAGCCGUUGGAAACGACGAAUAAUACCCUAUGAUGUUUCUAUCUCGCAUGAGAUAUUAACCAAAGUGUUAGCGGUGUAAGAUGGACUUGCGUCUGAUUAGCUAGUUGGUGAGAAAAAAGCCCACCAAGGCAACGAUCAGUAGCCGGCUUGAGAGAGUGUACGGCCACAUUGGGACUGAGACACGGCCCAGACUCCUACGGGAGGCAGCAGUGGGGAAUUUUGCACAAUGGGGGAAACCCUGAUGCAGCGACGCCGCGUGAUUUAGAAGGCCUUCGGGUUGUAAAAAUCUUUUGUAUAGGAAGAAAAUGACAGUACUAUACGAAUAAGGUCCGGCUAAUUACGUG